rnacentral:misc_RNA from 1 species
UAAUAAGUGUUUUAUGGCACUUUUUAAAUCCAUAUCCACCUUGUGUGCUAUGUCAGUCGAUCUUCUUCAUGGAGAUCGACCAAACAUCAACCUUUAUCUUUUAACUCUUUGUCUGAAAAAAUAUUAUGAAUAAACAAUUCAAAAUA